GACGAACGCUGGCGGCGUGCUUCAUACAUGCAAGUCGAACGAGAAGCUGACUUCGGUCCGUGGCUAGUGGCGGACGGGGGCGUAAUAUGUAGGAAAUCUGCCCUUAGGAGUGGGACAACAGAGGGAACCUUCAGCUAAUACCACAAAUGAGCGUAGCUGAAAUGCUCUUCUUGAAAUCUCCGGUGCCUAUAGUUGGGACUGCAACUGAUUAGCUAGUUGGUGGUGUAAUGGAUGACCAAGGCGAUGAUCAGUAGCUGGAUGGCGAGGAUGCUCAGCCACAAUGUGACUGAGACACGGCCCGUACUCCUUCGGGAGGCAGCGGUAGGGUAUUUGGCGCAAGCGGCGAAAGCCAGGAGCGGCUACGCCGCGUAAACGUUUGAGCCCAUCGAAGUGCAAAGUUCUGUCAGUGUAGACGAAACUUGACGGUACCCACAGAGAAAGCACCGGCUAACUCCGUG
rnacentral:rRNA from 1 species